GCCUGGGUGGUGGAAUGGUAGACACGCUGGACUUAAAAUCCAGUGAGGGUUAUUCCUCGUGAGAGUUCGAGUCUCUCCCCAGGCACCA
rnacentral:tRNA from 1 species